rnacentral:rRNA from 1 species
UUUCCGUAGGUGACCUGCGGAAGGAUCAUUACCAAGAACCACACAGAAAAGGGAGGCAAAGGGGCCUACAGGGCUAGUAGCUUAUACGUUGUUGAACGUCCUGCCUGGACCCGGAGCCGCCCCCAUCUAAACCCUCUGCGUACCUGUCCCUUCUUGCUUCCCCCGGCAUCUCGUCGGGGGGAGGUAACAACCAAAACUCUCUGUGAAUCAAACAGCCGUCAGAAUUAUAAAACAAACAAAAGUUAAAACUUUCAACAACGGAUCUCUUGGUUCCCACAUCGAUGAAGAACGCAGCGAAAUGCGAUAAGUAAUGUGAAUUGCAGAAUUCAGUGAAUCAUCGAAUCUUUGAACGCACAUUGCGCCCCCUGGUAUUCCGGGGGGCAUGCCUGUUCGAGCGUCAUAAAAACCUCCUCCCCCUUCGGGUUUUGUUACUAUCGUUGGGGGGUUUUGGCCUAAUGGGAUAGCGAUUGGCAAUUCGUUUCCCAAUGUCCUAAAUAGACGUAGACCCGCCUCCAGAUGCGACAGCACCGAGGCCAUCAACCGUGGAGUUAUGGGAUAUAAUAGGCUUGCAGUAAAAUGCUCACCUCUCUCCACACGCCGAUGGCACGACAGUUGCAGUUGCGGGCGUAAAUUGGAGCCCUUUUCAGGACCCUUGUGGCCUAGCAUCCACCAUACAUAAUUUGACCUCGGAUCAGGUAGGGAUACCCGCUGAACUUAAGCAUAUCAAUAAGCGGAGGAAAAGAAACCAACAGGAUUGCCUCAGUAACGGCGAGUGAAGCGGCAAAAGCUCAAAUUUUAAAGCUGACAUCUUC